GAUGAAUGCUGGCGGCGUGCCUAACACAUGCAAGUCGAGCGGCAGCGAGUUUUACACUGAAUUCUGGAAGCUUCUGAGUAGUACAGAAGAUUUAUUCAAGAGUUUUGUGUAAAAUGUCGGCGAGCGGCGGACGGCUGAGUAACGCGUAGGAAUUUGCCCCAAAGUGAGGAAUAACUGCCCGAAAGGGUAGCUAAUGCCGCAUAUGGUCUUCGGAUUAAAGCCUUCGGGCGCUUUGGGAGAAGCCUGCGUUGGAUUAGGUAGUUGGUAGGGUAAUGGCCUACCAAGCCGACGAUCAUAGCUGGUCUGAGAGGAUGAUCAGCCAGACUGGAACUGAGACACGGUCCAGACUCCUACGGGAGGCAGCAGUGAGGAAUCUUCCACAAUGGGCGAAAGCCUGAUGGAGCAACGCCGCGUGAAGGAUGAAGGCCUUCGGGUUGUAAACUUCUUUUAUGAGUGAAGAAUAUGACGGUAACUCAUGAAUAAACACCGGCUAACUACGU
rnacentral:rRNA from 1 species